rnacentral:rRNA from 1 species
GAAUUCACUAGUGAUUCAGGCCUAACACAUGCAAGUCGAGCGGUAGAGAGAAGCUUGCUUCUCUCGAGAGCGGCGGACGGGUGAGUAAUGCCUAGGAAUCUGCCUGGUAGUGGGGGAUAACGUUCGGAAACGGACGCUAAUACCGCAUACGUCCUACGGGAGAAAGCAGGGGACCUUCGGGCCUUGCGCUAUCAGAUGAGCCUAGGUCGGAUUAGCUAGUUGGUGAGGUAAUGGCUCACCAAGGCGACGAUCCGUAACUGGUCUGAGAGGAUGAUCAGUCACACUGGAACUGAGACACGGUCCAGACUCCUACGGGAGGCAGCAGUGGGGAAUAUUGGACAAUGGGCGAAAGCCUGAUCCAGCCAAGGCGCGUGUGUGAAGAAGGUCUUCGGAUGUAA